rnacentral:rRNA from 1 species
UACGGGGGGGGCAAGCGUUGUUCGGAAUUACUGGGCGUAAAGGGCUCGUAGGCGGCCAACUAAGUCAGACGUGAAAUCCCUCGGCUUAACCGGGGAACUGCGUCUGAUACUGGAUGGCUCGAGUUUGGGAGAGGGAUGCGGAAUUCCAGGUGUAGCGGUGAAAUGCGUAGAUAUCAGGAGGAACACCGGUGGCGAAGGCGGGUCUCUGGGCCGUAACUGACGCUGAGGAGCGAAAGCGUGGGGAGCGAACAGG